UGACCCUCAUGGGUCACCUAGCCAACUGACGUUGUUAGUGAACUUAUUAUUCACAAAUAACAGCCAAUAGACCCUUCCUAUUGGCUAUUUUUUU
rnacentral:sRNA from 1 species